ACUCUCGUACGUGGUCAGUUUAAAGUUUUUCUUUUCCGGCCAAUAUCCUAUAGCUUUCUGCAGAUUAAGGCGUGCCGGCAGGUGCGUAUGAUGACCAGGCAACGGCCUGACGACUGCGACAAGAAACUGGGUUUGUGCGCACUAGUUGCACGCAUAUAUAUGUAAAAUUGGACGGGAAUUUGGCUCUUCUGUAGCUGUCAGUCACUGCUCCGAGUGGUGGCGAGAGUAGUAAUCUAAUUAAAUCUGCC
rnacentral:lncRNA from 1 species